GAUAUCUCGCAGCUUAACUGUAAAAGUGCCAGUGAUACUGUGACGCUAGGAUUUGGGUGGCGGGGAUGGACUGUGUGUCUAGCGGAGAAAUGGUGAGAGAUCACACAGAAUAUGGAUUGUGAAGGCAGCUCACAAAGCCAAGAUGGACGCUGAGGCAAGAAAGUGUGGGGAUCAAACAGGAUUAGAUACCCGGGUAGUGCACACUGUAAUCGAUGAUAACUCGCUGUCGGCGAUAUACAGUCGGUGUCCUAGCGAAAGCGAUAAGUUAUCCACCUGGGGAGUACGACCGCAAGGUUGAAACUCAAAGGAAUUGACGGGGGCCCGCACAAGCGGAGGAACAUGUGGUUUAAUUUAUUGAUACGCGAGGAACCUUACCCGGGCUCGAACGAUGCAGGAAUAUGGUAGAGAUAUCAUAGCUAGCAAUAGUCUGUAUCGAGGUGCUUCAUGGUUGUCGUCAGCUCGUGCCGUGAGGUGUCGGAUUAAGUGCCAUAACGAGCGCAACCCUCGUCAUUAGUUACCAUCAGGUCAAGGUGGGGACUCUAAUGAGAAUGCCACCGUAAGGUGAGAGGAAGGGGGGGAAGACGUCAAAUCAGCACUGCCCUUAUGUCCGGGGCGCCACACGUGUUACAAUGGGAGGUACAGAGGGCAGCUAUCCAGUGAUGGAGCACAAAUUUCAAAAACCUUUCUCAGUUACUCAAGGAAUGCAUCACUCGAGUCCGGGAAGUUGGCUUCGGGUGUAAUCGCACGUCGGCCAGAGUGCGGUAAUGAUUUGUUACGGCCUACGCCCAGCGCCCAUCAAGCCUUUCUCGUUUGUGGUCCUUGAAGUUCGUGACCGCAAGGAGCGACCUAG
rnacentral:rRNA from 1 species